rnacentral:misc_RNA from 1 species
UGCACGGCGCUGAUGGUGCUCU